rnacentral:misc_RNA from 1 species
CAUUUCGAGGGUUUUAUGAGAAGGUGAUUCUGGAUGGCAAAUGCCCAUAUUUUCCAUUUUUACUUUUAUUUUUUGUUGCUGUAUGAUUUGUUUAUGUAAAAAUUUGGUGGUCUGAACCUCCCACACAUGUAUACAUUUAAACAUAUUUUUUACUUUAUGAAGUUAUGAACCAAAUACUGAGUUGGCGUCUUGUCUUCCAACUUAGUUGUAAAUUUUAUAAUCAUAUUUCUAUUGAGAAAUGUAAGAUAUGUAAAGAAAGAUUGAAGUUGAGAAGUAAAACAAAUGUUUUAUUAGAGAUUAGUGUUGUUUGAAAUAUAAAGAAAAACCAGUAAAGAUGAAGACGGGUGCCUUAGAAAUUGGAAAAAAAAAAAGGAACAGAUUGGUGAGCAGUUACAGAGAACAAAAAAUAGGAAUAGGGGGGGAAAGAGACGUUCUCCAUUAAAAACAGGGAAAUGGCAAGAGAGAGAGAGAGAGAGAGA